rfam:Bacillus marisflavi strain JCM 11544 super9, whole genome shotgun sequence.
AGCAUCAACCGGCCUAAUCUCGAAAGAGAGCGGAGGAACCAAUUUUUUGGGGUUAAUUCUACUGUGUAGAAGGGAUGAGAAAACUCUUUCGCCAUCCUACCCGUCAGCUAACUUCGUCGGCUAAAGCGAAGGAGGUC